GAUGAACGCUGGCGGCGUGCUUAACACAUGCAAGUCGAACGAAGCACUUUAUUUGAUUUCCUUCGGGACUGAUUAUUUUGUGACUGAGUGGCGGACGGGUGAGUAACGCGUGGGUAACCUGCCUUGUACAGGGGGAUAACAGUUGGAAACGGCUGCUAAUACCGCAUAAGCGCACGGCAUCGCAUGAUGCAGUGUGAAAAACUCCGGUGGUAUAAGAUGGACCCGCGUUGGAUUAGCUAGUUGGUGAGGUAACGGCCCACCAAGGCGACGAUCCAUAGCCGACAUGAGAGGGUGACCGGUCACAUUGGGACUAAGACACAGCCCAAACUCCUACGGGAGGGAGCAGUGGAGAAUAUUGCACAAUGGGCGAAAGCCUGAUGCAGCGACGCCGCGUGAGCGAAGAAGUAUUUCGGUAUGUAAAGCUCUAUCAGAAGGGAAGAUAAUGACGGUACCUGACUAAGAAGCACCGGCUAAAUACGUG
rnacentral:rRNA from 1 species